rnacentral:rRNA from 1 species
GACGAACGCUGGCGGCGUGCUUAACACAUGCAAGUCGAACGGAAAGGCCUGCUUUCCCUUGUGGAUUGCGGGUACUCGAGUGGCGAACGGGUGAGUAACACGUGAGUGAUCUGCCCCCAACUUGGGUAUAAGCCUGGGAAACUGGGUCUAAUUCCCGAUAGGACUGCAGGGUGGUGCCUGUGGUGGAAAACGAUUUUCUAGUGGUUGGGGAUGAGCUCGCGGCCUAUCAGCUUGUUGGUGGGGUAAUGGCCUACCAAGGCGGCGACGGGUAGCCGGCCUGAGAGGGUGGACGGCCACAUUGGGACUGCGAUACGGCCCAGACUCCUACGGGAGGCAGCAGUGGGGAAUAUGGCACAAUGGGCGGAAGCCUGAUGCAGCGACGCCGCGUGGGGGAUGACGGCCUUCGGGUUGUAAACUCCUUUCGACCGCGAGGAAGCCACCUGGUUGGAAGGGUGGUGACGGUAGUGGUAGAAGAAGCACCGGCUAACUACGUG